GUCAAAACGGUAGGCCACCAGCUGUUGCGAGAUUAUUUUCUGUCCUCUCUGUCUUUAUUUACUACCUUCCUUUCUUUAUGUUUAAUUUGUAACAGGCCCUAAUACCUCUCCAUUUACCCUUCUGUCCCCCUGGAUCUACUGCAACGGAUAUAAUAUAUAUUGGGAGGGGUAGAUAAACAAGUCUGAGUAGUAAAACCAAGAUAUUGGGGAUGACACGUUCCACUUCAGAGAGAUUCACAAAGUCAGUUUAUAUAUUGCCCUAACAAAAUUAAAAAAAAAUAUGUAGAUAAAAAUGUCCACCUUCUUGAAGUUUAUAAAAACAUAAUAUAGUAAAUGUCACUGUGAAAAGGACUUUCAUAGAGGUUUUCUGAUUGUGUAUUUGAGAAUUUACUUAAACCCAGAGCAAUAGUGAGUAUCUAAUGAAAUUAGCAUCAAUUUGUAAAGGAUGUCCAUGUUAUAAUGUAGUUAUCACCCCAUUUAUAACCACAGUAGGUGCAGCCAUCAACCAUUCUUUAACCAUAGUAACAAAUAUAUACAUAGGAAUAAUAAGGAAUAAUAAUAAGAAUAUCUACUCAAAGAUAUAAGGGUAUCUAAUGCAUGUACUAUAUAGUAUCAACUUUUGGAGUAGCAAAGAGUUUAAGUUCCAAAUAAGUGCUUCUUUGAUGGUAUUUAGAUAUAACAAAUAUGGUAUCAACAUGGCCUUGGUCUUGUUUUUAUGUGAAAUAUAUACCUAUUAAGGAGUCAUAUCCAAGUUGCUCACAAAAUCAGGAGUAAAUAUUGAGCAAGGGAAACUGCAGGGGCAUGAUCUACAGUUGUGCUCAAAAGUUUGCAUACCCAGGCAGAAAUUGUGAAACUUUGGCAUUGAUUUUGAAAAUAUGACUGAUCAUGCAAAAAACAUUAUUUAAUUGAAUGUUGAUUAUAUGAAGCCAUUUAUUAUCACAUAGUUGUUUGGCUCCUUUUUAAAUCAUGAUGAUAACAGAAAUCACUGAAAUGGCCCUGAUCGAAAGUUUACAUACUCUUGAAUAUUUGGCCUUGUUACAGACACACAAGGUGACACACAGGUUAAAAUGGCAAUUACAGGUUAAUUUCCCACACCUGUGGCUUUUUAAAUUGUAAUUAGUGUCCGUAUAUAAAUAGUCAAUGAGUUUGUUAGCUCUCACAUGGAUGCACUGAGCAGGCUAGAUACUGAGGAGCAGAAAAGAUACAUGGGGAGCAGAAAAGAUACAUGAGGAGCAGAAAAGAACUGUCAAAAGACCUGUGUAACAAGGUAAUGAAACUUUACAAAGAUGAAAAAGGAUAUAAAACUAUAUCCAAAGCCUUGAAAAUGCCAGUCAGUACUGUUCAAUUACUUAUUAAGAAGUUGAACAUUUGGGGAUCUCUUGCUACCAAGCCAAGGUCCGGUAGACCAAGAAAGAUUUCAGCCACAACUACCAGAAGAAUUGUUCGGGAUCCAAAGAAAAACCCAUAGGUAACCUCAGGAGAAAAACAGGCUGCUCUGGAAAAAGAUGGUGUGGUUGUUUCAAGGAGCACAAUACAACGAUGAGCUGCAUGGCCGAGUUGCCAGAAAGAAGACUUUACUGCACCAAUGCCACAAGCAAGCCUGGUUACAAUAUGCCCAACAAAACCUUAAUGUGCCUCAAAGCUUCUGGCACACUGAAAUUUGGAGUGAUGACACCAAAAUAGAACUUUAUGUUCACAACCAUAAGCGCUAUGUUUGGAGAGGUGUCAACAAGGCCUAUAGUGAAAAGAAUACCAUCCCCUCUGUGAUGCAUGGUGGUGGCUCACUGAUGUUUUGUGGGGGUGUUAGUUCUAAAGGCACUGGGAAUCUCUUUUGAUUGAUGGCACGAUGAAUGCAACAUGUUAUCAGAAAAUACUGGCUGACAAUUUGCAUUCUUCUGCACGAAGGCUGAGCAUGGGACGCUCUUGGACUUUACAGCAUGACAAUGACCCUAAGCAAAAGGACAAGUUGAGCCUCCAUUGGUUAUAGCAGAAAAAGGUGAAAGUUCUGGAGUGACAAUCACAGUCUCCUGACCUUAAUACCAUCAAGACACUCUGGGGAGAUCUCAAACGUGCUGUUCAUACAAGACGACCAAAGACUUUCCAUAUCCUGGAGGCACUUUGUCAAGACGAAUGGGUAGGUAUACCACCUGCAAGAACUAAGGGCCUCAUAGACACCUUUUACAAAAGACUGCAUGCCGUCAUUGAUGCUAAAGGGGGCAAUACACAAUAUUAAGAACUAAGGGUAUGCAGACUUUUGAACAGGGGUCAUUUCAUUUUUUUCUUUGUUGCCAUGUUUUGUUUUAUGAUUGUGCCAUUCUGUUAUAAC